CUCCUAGCAGUCAAACUGGAACAGCAUACAAUAAAUCCUUCCCCCAAUAAUGAGACGACACUUCACUUUGAGGGUUAAAACAGGAACUCCCUGUACUGUCACAUACAGUCUCUUUUAUUCCCAAUCCACAAACAUAGUACAGCCCACAGGGCGUUACAAAACAACCAAUCAAUCCGUACAAUACACCCAGACACUCCCACACAAACUCCUCCCCUCUGCCUGUGAUAUGAUUACUGAACACAAUGGGUAAUCUCAUUAUCACCGGCAGAGGAAUACAGUUUUUACACAAUAUUUAUAACUUCUAAAAUAUACAUGUCACAAACAUAAAGCAUACAUUUUCAUAAUCAAUCCAUUCAGGGGAACAACAUAUUAAAAAAUGGCACGAAUCAGACCAGGGGUUCAAAAGUUAAGGGAAAGUC